AACAUAAAAUUGUUAUUUUAAACGUUAAAAACUUAUGGGAUACUGCAUAUACACAUCCUCUAAAAUCUUUCAGCUCAAUUGGAAAUAUUUCAUCCCAAGUCCUUCCGGCACUUGAGUGUGUAUUAAUUGAUUAUCAUCAUAGAUCUCAGGCUACUACUAGCUCAAGCUAUUAGAUGAGGGUUGAUAGCCCCAAAUCUUUGUUAUUGGUUGUUUUCAUAAUCUUCACUUCCUUAUCCAAGCAAGUUUAGAAUUGAGGCAAGUUUCAAUGUAUAACAUAAAAGGCCAGUAGUAUUGAUGGUCAGUCUCAAAAAUCUAAUACAACAAACAGACUGACAUUAAAGAGACAAUGACCCUCAAAUUAGGCUAUGUAUCGCCGUGGAUUAAUAGUCACACAAGGCAGCAGAGAUUGUUGGUUAAGCAACUCAUUCUACCUUCUUGCUUUCUUUGGCUUCAGCUUCUUCCGCGUCUUUUGUCUUUCCUUCGUCAAACUCCAACAACUGCUCAACAAAAAUAUCAAGAAUACAGUUUCAGUAUUCGAAACAGAAAUGUAAUAUAAACAGAUUGUCAAGAAAAACAUACAGGCUUCACAUCCCUGUUCCAUAUGCAAUGUACCGCCAAGAAUCCAACAAAUAUUGUGAGUGCCAAACCAAAUGUGUAUCCUAAAAAUGCACUCUUGAAGUAUUGGGGUGCCUUCCCCCUGGAGACAUCAAAACGGAGUGCCAAUGCAACAAAAAUGCCUGAAAGAUUGAAGUGAUCAAAUGUUACCAAGUGUAUCUACUCAAGCAAAAAAGAAGUUGCAAAAGAAAAUGAUGCAAGACCAUGGCAAAAACCAAAUAAUAAGAAUUUGUGAAAGAAAAAUAAGUUCAGUAGCUAGAGUAAAAGAAAUAAAACUUUUCUUCAAUAUGGUAAGACCUCAUCCCUCAUUCCUUCUCGAGGGACCAACAGUGGUUUUUUCAACUUUUUCCUCUUACUGUCUCAAACCCCAAACCUCAUGGUUUGAGAUGGAGGAUCCCUCUAUUAUGCUUAAUCUCUCUGGUUUAGUCACAAAAAGUAAGCUAAUAAUUUGUAAAGUUGCAUUCGUGGCUAUUUACAAAUAGCACAGGUCAAAAAUCAGAAAAGAUCUUUCAUGCAAAUGGAGGUUAUACCUGGGAUAACUAUAUCUCCAAGACCCAGCAUUGAGAAGGGGCGUUUAGCAUCCGCUGUGGGAAACAAAAGCUGCAGACAAAGCAAUUUUAUAAUCAGGACACAGUGACUAACAAAGUGUGGAAUGGAAAAUUUAAAGAACCAGCUACAUAAAAAAAGGUCACUAUCUUGAUAGGAGCAUCAAAAGAUUUGGCUACACUGACCAUCACAAAAAGUCCUGCCUGCAUUUUUCGAAAGCCAUGGGCAUUCUCAUGAAGUUCUUUUCCGGAUAUUUGGAAGAGUCAAAUAAGGAACAACAAAGGGAUAUUUGGUUUAAGGCUAGAAACAUAAAUAGAAUGACACUUAUGAACCAUGUACAAUUACAUAUAAUACACAAAUUUCUUCCCUUACCAAUAGUAUGGCACCAGUCUUAAAUGAUCCAAGUGAAAGCAUUUCAAUACCCUGAAAUCAAAAUGGCAAAGGAAAAUCCAUAUCAUUCAUCAAGGUAGACAUGAUUAGACUCAAGAGGGGACCAAACACUUUUCAGCUCUGCAAAAGUCUCCAUUCAUUCGAAGCAUACAAAUAGAUAAUAACAAGUAACGUUGGAUCAUUGUAAGGACCCAAUGUGGGAUGUGGGUAGGACGCAUGUCACAAGUAAGAACUGUAUCAAUGACAAGGAUCCUGGUGUUUUAGUGGGAGCACAGUAGAGGCAGGGGCGGCUGGUAAGGUAUAAAAAAAGUUUUUGGCCUUAGGCCCUAAUAAAUUGGGGGCCUCAUUUUUUAGUUAAUUAGGUAGAAUUAAACUUUUAAAAAAAAAUAGAACUAAGACAACAAAUGCAAAUGGCAUUAAUGAUAUAUAUAUAUUUCAUAUGAUGUUAACAUAUCAGGGGCAGCUGGUAAGCAUCCCUUUUACUAAUUUGAGAUUAGGGCAAUCAUCGAUGAUCAGCUGAGAGAGGGAGGAGGGAAGGGAAAGAGACUGGAGUUGAUGGCAGGAGGAGAUGACUAGACUUUGAAGUGAAGUGAGGUACCGAAAACCUUCUGUCGGUAGUGAAUGGAGUUGAUGUUGGUCAUUUAAAUGGAGCUGAGAAAGAGAUGAGGGAAGCCCUUCUUCCACCAUUGACUGAAUUUGAGGUAUAUCAGCAAUGCAUAGAUAUUCAAGAGAUGAGAGGCUUUUGAGAAGUUGGCUGCUUAAUGUUUUCAUAUUGGAUACCUCAAGCCUUUGAAUAGAGGAAGGCAACUCCCAAUUCUCACCGGCAAGAAUCUCUUCGUCACUCCCAUCAUGAUUGAUCCAUAACUCUCUGAGACAGGAGAGUCUCUGUAAACGCCAUUCCUUUCGUCCAUUCACUAGUUUCUUGCAAUUACGGAUCUCAAGCAUUUGUAAAUUGAAAGGCAAUCCUCCUUCUGGAAAGAACUCUAUUUCUGGACAAUAAGACAGAUGCAGUUCCUUAAGAGAAGGAAGGAGUUCCUGCAUAUGUUCUGGCAACCACUUCAGCUUCGAACAUCGGAUAAUACGCAAAUGCGUCAUCUGAGUCCCCCCACAGGCCCCUGAAAGUUUUUCAAGAUUCUUACAAUUCCAAAUACUGAGACUAUCAGUAGCAGUAGGAAUAAAAAACUUAGUAAGGUUCUGGGAACUAAAUACAUCCAAUUUGCGUGCUCUUGGGACCAACUCAGGUGAUAUAUCAUCUAUAGAAGUGUCAAAUCCACACAGUGUCAAUUUCUCGAGAAACAUGUUACAAUAACUGCUAGAAAUCAUAUCACCAACUGGUGCCUCCAAUUUCAAUUUCUGGCAACGAAAUAUGCCUAUUUCCUUCAAGGUACUCGGAAGAAUGCUAAAAGGAAAGGAGGUGAGAGAGUUACACUCACCAAUAAAUAAUCCCUCAAUCUGCUUCAUUCCUUCAAGUUGGGAUCCAAACAGUUCACUGUCAUCAAAAAGUGGAGAAUCAUCAACAUCAAAUAUUUGUAAAUUUGAAAGUUGGAUAGGUGUCUCCAAAUUGAGUACAGGACAUCUUGAAAUUAUCAAUUCUGUCAGAGAAGAAAGAUUUUCAGGCAACUUCCCAAUCAACUUCGGACAAUUUUGAAUUGAAAGCUUCUCAAGUGCAGGGAACUCUCCAUUUCCUAGUACGUGCCAUUGCUUCCACUCCGGCAUGUCUUCAAAUUCAAGCUUCUCAAGAGAAUUAAAAGGCUUUUUGAAGGACAAACUACCAAAGAAUUCUUCAGUGACCUCUGUUAUUCCGUGCAUCUCUCUAAUGGAAAGGAAUUUCAAAGAACGGAGUUGCCCUAGUGCUGGCAAGGAAUCACAGUCCUUGCAGUGGCAAAGAGACAAUUUCUCCAGCUUAUAAAACAAAGGAUCAGCUAGCCAAUUUGGAAAGUUUGUCCCUCUAUAUCCAGUGAUUUCGACUUCUUUUAUGUUUGUGUGUGGGCAUAGCUCAUCAAGUAUGUCUCUUUCAGUUUGUGAAUUGUCUGCAGUACUACUUCCACUCCACUCCAAUGAUAAUUUUUCAACAUGAUUCUUCUCCCUCAUCUUUGCCUUCAAAGCUUUCCUUCUAUCAACCACAUUUUGCAACUCUAGAAUUGAUAGAGAUCCAUACAAGUUAUGCAGUUCACCCAAAUCUUCCAUCCUCAAACCACCGCAAUCACUUAUAAGAAACUUGGCUCCCACUAGCACAUCGAGACUUUUCAACUUGCUCAGAUGGAGCGGCAUCUUCAAGAGAUAAGUGUUGCUAAUGUUGAGGUGACGCAAGUUGAUCAACUUCUCCAUUUGUAGCGGUAGAUCUUCAAGAUCAUCACAAGAUGAUAGGAGAAGUGUCUCUAAGUUAUACAACACACAAAUGGAAUCUGGCAACCUUUUAAUCUUUGUCCGAGAAACAUCCAAAAAUCUCAGGAACUUUAAUUUGAUAAACAAGUCAUUUGGCAACUCAACAAUCUCAUAGCAUGACAACGAUAAUGCCCUUAUGGAUGUUAGACUUGGCAAUAGGUUAUGCAGUACCCUCUUGCUUAGCUUAAUUUGGUCACGGAGCUGGAUAUUGAUUGGAAGAAAUGACUUUAUCUUCUCUGAUUGAAAGAGGGAAUUCAAUUUCUCAAAGUCACCACCUUCUCCCAUUGAAUAGGACAUGUGCCGACAUUUUUCCAACAUAUGAGAUCCUUUGUUCUCUUCCAACCUUAUACAAAGAUUUGAAGAUACAUUUCGGGCCAAAUCAUUGAUAAGGUCAUGCAUUAAGAAUCCCUCCGGUUUCCAUUCAGACUCUGGGACCUUUUCGAACAGCGAUCUUGAUCUCAACUCGAAAAAGUAUUGGUCACCUGAAUGAAACUGUUGUACAAGACCAUUAGCAAUCCACAGGUGAAUAACUUGGUCUUUGCAAAAUUGAUAACCUUUGGGAUAUAUUGCACAAUAAGCAAAACAUCGCUUCAAAUGUGGAGGAAGAUCAUUGUAGCUCAACAUCAGCGCUGGUAAUAUAACAUUAAAAGAACUUGGCAGCUCCCAUAUUUCACUUCUUAAAAUGUCUCUCCACUCAUCCACCUCUGAUUUGCAGCGUAAAAUACCAGCAAGUGCCUUUAGAGCUAAAGGCAACCCUCCGCACUUGUCUGCAAUUUUUUUUCCAACUUUUUCCAAUUCUGGAUGUUCCUUAGGAUCCCUAUUUUCUAGUGAAUGUCGUUUGAAUAAAUCCCAAGAGGCUUCACUAGAUAGAGUUCCCACGUUGAUUGCUCCGCUACCCAUCAUCAAAGCAACACUCUCCUUACGUGUAGUUACAAUGAUCUUACUUCCCAUACGUCCUUGUACAAAAAGAUUUCUCAAGUCAUCCCACUCACUAUAGCUAUCAUUCCACACAUCAUCAAGGACAACAAGAAACUUCCUUCCUGACAGGCCUUCCUUCAAUUUGACCUGCAGCUGAUUAAGAUUGUCAUAACCCUUUGAGUCACAUGAGCCAAUUUGUUGAAGUAGCCCUUUUGUUAGUCUGAAAGCAUCAUAUUCCUCAGUAACACAAUGCCAAGCUUUCAAAUCAAAAUGGUCAUUCACCUUCUCAUCAUUGUAAACCGCUUGAACAAGUGUUGUCUUACCCACACCGCCCAUUCCAACAAUAGGAACUACAGUCAGGUUUUUUCCAUUUGCAUCUUCGGACAAUAAACGGUCAAUCAAAUCCUCAAAAUCAUUCUGCCUACCAAAGAUAUCAAAAUUAUCAACCAAAGAAGUUGAAGGUGUUGUAGUUUCUUGUUUAGUCAAACCAAAAUGCUCCUUUAAGCCAAGGGGACCAAUUUUCUUUUGCAAAUCCUCCAAUAUUUCAAUAGUGUCUUCCAACUUGUCCUUUAUGUCAAGAAAGAAAGCAUCACUUACUCGAUGGUUGCUAGUUUCUGCAAGAUUUUGAUGCUGGCCUUCCACCUUAAGCCUCAAAGCUUCAUAAUUGACUUGUUCCAUUAAGUUUUCAGCAGUGUCCACAGCAUCUAGAAGCUCAUUAAACCACUGGCUCACAAAUUGAUCUGAUGCCUGCGUAUUCUCUGCAUCACUUAGCACAGCUUGAAAACAAAGCAAAGUCGUUCUCAGCUUCUUCAAGAGACGAACAUCAUUUGUAUGCUUCUGAAACAUCUCUAGAACAUUCAAAGCUGAAGAGAUAAAUGCACCACCAACUGCUAAGCCCACCUCCAUUUCUGAAAUCUGCAAAGCAAAACACAAAAUGAUUUUAAGAAAUUUGAGAAGAUGAAUGUUUCUAUCUUCAAUUACUAACAACUUUACUUUACCUGUUGAAUGCUAAGAGUAAUUUGCAAACAAGAAUGAUCACUGAUUUCUCUCUCUCUUUUGCUAGUAAAUUUGCAAACAACAAGUUGUAACUAUGUUUGCUAGUGCCUAUUCAUUGCUUUCUCAAUUGAGUAAUUGAGGGUAGUUGGGGGACGUUGUACAAAAUGGGGACCAUUUAGACACCAAAGUCUUGUAUCAUUUAAACAUCAAUACAAGGUUCAAUUGUGCUAUUUUGACAUUUUUGGCUAAUUCAGCCAAAUACGUUAAAGUGUGCAACACACUCGCGGAUAACAUCUCAAUAUUUGAAUUGCACAAAAUGACAAAAUUACUUCCAUAUUUGAAUUGCACAAAUUACUUUCCUGGGGUGUUUGACAAUUAAUGAGUCCUGUUUUAAGGCUUGUAGUCCUUAUUUGAAAACUAAUUAUUUGAAUUAGUAUAUAUGAAUCUUCAAUAUAUCCAUUUGAUCUCCGACUACUACGAUCGUUGGGAGCUGGAUACCUUCUUGCAUUAUGUUAAGGUGGUGGACGAAUUUUAUCAUUGAAAGAUGCAACAAUGGGAGGAUGAACAAAUGGAUAUAUUGAGGAUGAAAAAACACGUGUGAGAAGGAUCAAAUAUAUCCCUUUAUAUAUAUAUAUUAAAACGAAUCUAGAUUGAAUUUUUUACUUUUGUUAGAGAAAAAGAGUAUAUGUGAGUCAUUUGUGUAGCAAUAGAAGUAUAUGUGAGCUGCUUUUUUAACGAGAGCCAAUGAGCCAUAUAAACUUUAUAUCACAAGUUAAAGAAGUAUAUCAGACCAUUUUCUCUUGAAACAUGUUGAGCAGGUCAGCCACAGGAGCAAGCCUAUCAAGUCAUUUUUUACUCCUUUCAAAAGUAAGACUUUUCAAACAACAAGAAGACACGAUAAAUUGAAGCAAACUCAUUACUUUCUCAAUGUAAUAAUUGAAGCAAGGGAAGAAGAGUAAUUUAUUAGGGAUGUAGAAAGGGGGGCCUAGGUGGGGGACUCAAAAAUAAAAGAACUUAAAAUGAUAGAUUUCUACACAGUUCAUCAUAGCGUUAAAAGGGACCUAUCAUAUUAAAAAUGCAUAAUACAUAAACCCUUAACAGGGCUUCAAUGGACAACUAUACCCUCCAACUUUGAGUGUGCACAAGUAAAGAUUUAAAUUUGUAUAAAAUUAACAAGUAGACACACGUGUCCUACAUGACAUAAUACGCGUAGGAUGCCACAUACGACACAAAAUUGUCAUGUAGGGUGCUAUGUAGGACGAAUGUGUCUAUUUGUUCAAUUUUAUACAAGUUUAAGUGUCUACUUGUGCACACCCAAAGUUAAAAGUCAUAGUUGCCGGCUGACGCCAAGUUAAGGGUCAUGUUUAUGUAUUAUGCCUAUUAAAAAUAUGUUUUCUUUACAUUCUUGAAAAGUUCUCUCUUUUAUUUUAAAAAAAGAAAUCAUUCUUGAAAAUAUUAUUGAUGAAUUUUGAAUUGAACAGAACUUGUAAUUAGAUUCCAUGUGGUUACCUUUUAAAUCAAAAUAAUCUCUUUUUAUAAUCACUCAUCAUGUGUGAUCUUUUCUAUUGAACUUACUGCAUAGAUGCAUCGAAAUAUUUUAAUAAGUUAAUAUUUGUGUAUUCUAAAAAGUAGAACCUCUUUGAUACUUUUAGUUUGUCCAUGAUUUAUCAAAAGUUUAAGAUCACAAAAUUUUAAAAACACACAUAUUUUUAAUUUAAAAUCAUAAAUUUUAAAAAUCUCUUUUUUAUUUCGUAAAACUUGUGCUCAAAUAAGCUAAAACACUUAAAUUGAGCGAAGUUAAUACAUCAAUUUUGCAAUCAUGUGCUCUAUUAUAUAUAUAUAUAUAUAUAUAUUGAUUGUUAGGUUAUUGUGAUGUAGUGGAAAAGGACAUGAGGCCAUGACUACACAAGUUGUGCCAAAAGUAAUUGAUAAAAUUUAAUGGUCACCAAUCAACUUACCUACCCCUCUUAAUUACACAUCAAAACCUAGCAAAAAUAAUGUGAGAAUUUUUAUUUUUUAAAAAAAGAAGUAAAAAAUUUAAAGCUAAUUUUUUUCGGAUAUGUUGUAAAAGUAUUUUUGUAUCAGUAAAAAAAAAUUUGGGGCAUAUGUAAUAAAUUUUACAAGAAAUUUAGUAAAAAAAAUUUGACUAUUAAAAUGAUAAAUCCAAAAUUAGCCAUUGAAUCAAAGAAGCCAAAAAAAAUACAUGUGAGAACGAUCAAAUAUAUCCCUACAUAAAUGGUUUUUUCAAAAAAAAAUAAAAUUAAAUUGAUUUUUUUUAAAUUUUUGUUAGAGGAAAUGGUAUAUCAGACCGUUUUCUCUAUGUUAGUUGUAUUAUAUACUUUAUUUAAUACUAUUUUUAUACAUAACAAACCAUGGCGUUAACGAUACGAAAUAUUAACCACCUACUGUCAUUUUUUCUCCUUUCAAAAGUAAGACUUUUCAUUCAACAAGACACUACAACAAAAGCAACUUUUAGCGGCAAUAAAUAGGCACAUUAAUAAAUAGUGCUAAAGUUUUUACCAACAUCAAUUAAGUGUCAUUAGAUCCAAUAUCACUAAAGGCUUUAGGGACAUAUACAAAAAGUGUAAAUUGCCGCUAAAAUAUAUAUUUAGCGGCAAUUGAGCUAUUACCGUUAAUUAAUUGCCGCUAAAGAUCAUUUUUGAUGCAGUAAGAAAAAAAUGAUAAAUUGAAGCAAAUUCAUUACUUUCUCAACUAAAUAAUUGAAGCAUGAGAGGAAGAGUAAUUUAUUAUGGAUGUAAAAAGGGGGUUAGGUCGGGGACUAAAAAUAAAAGAGCUUAAAAUGACAGAUUUCUACACAGCUCAUUAUAGUGCUAAAAGGGACCUACCAUAUCAUAAAUAUGUUUACUUAACAUUUUUGAGAAAAUUCUUUUCCUUUUUAAAAGAAAAGGAAAAAAUAAAUUAUUCUUGAAAAUAUUAUUGCUGACUUUUGAGUUUAAUAGAACUGGAUCCCUUGUUUAAAUAAUACUUUACAUUCUGGUAAAUCUUCACAUUUUUUUCCCUACUUUUUCUACUUACUAAAUUUUACUGAAAUAAAGAUAAAUGAAGAUACUGCUGGGGAGAACAUGUUCUCUGCAACAGUAGGUCAUGCAUUACAACGUUUGUCUUGUUUUCAAUAGUUGACAGUUAUAGAAAAGAAAAGCCCAACAUCAUUUUUUUUUUUAAAAAAAUUCUUCUCAUAAAAUGAAAUUAAGUCUUAAAUGUAAUUCAAGUAGCUAAGUGUUGGUGAACGAAAAUAUUUGAUUUAUAAACUCAAAAGUUCCUAUAUGUUUCUAUAUUUUCUGUAUAUUUCAAUGUUUUUCUCUGUAUUGAAAAUAAUUAACAACAUUCUUAUUUAUAAUAGUAAACAAUCAAAUUAAACUAGGACUAGGAACUACUCUAACUAACAAACCCUAAUUAAACAUAAAUAAGUAAAUACCAUAAAUAACAAAUCCUAAUCAACUUAGGAUUCCCACUCCAACUUUGAAUUAUUAUUUCCAACAUUCUCCCAUAAUUCAAAGUUGUAUACUCUUGCCUUUUUCUUCUUGUUACUGUUGUUGUAUUGGAGUACUUCUCUUCUUGUUAUUGUUGUUGUAUUGGAGAACUCCUCUUCAAUCUUCAAUUGUUGGAGUGCUUCUCUUCAAUCUUCAAUUCUUGGAUUGCCUCUCUUCAAUUCUCAUUUUUUUUUUCUUGGUUGUGUUGGCGCACCUCUAUCCAACUUCCAAGUGUUAGAGCACUUUCUCUCCAACUCACGAUAUUUUUUUCUUGGUUGUGUUGGCAGGGCCGUCUCGACCAUAAGGCCACUAAAGCAAUCGCUUGGGGCCCCAAACAUUUUCUUUCAUAUAUAUUGUUAAAAAAAAUUCAUGUAUUGACAAAUUUGAAAAUAAUAUUUUGUAUACAAAAUAUAAUUGAGAAAUUGAAUAUUGUUUAGUUGAUUGUAGUGUCUUUUCUAGAUUCUUAUUAUGUGGCUAGUUAAUUGUAGUAUCCUUUCUUGUUUCACAUGUGGCUAUCUAUUUUGUUGUCUAGUUCAUUUAUAUUUUGAUGAUUAUCAUGAACCAACAAUAUUGUGUUCUUAUAUCAACUUUUCUUUAUUCUCCUUCCACUAUUUUUUAUUCUUUCAUGGGAAAAGGUAGAAGUACCUCCCUAAACUAUGAUCCAAAUCUCAGAGACAUGCCUUAACUAAACUAAGGUCCUAUUAACCCCCUGAACUCAUUUUUUUUGUAAUUUUGUACACCUUUUUGGCUUACGUGGCAUUCAAAUAUAUCUCACACGCCUCAACUGCAUGGAGUCACAGGGUGUGCCACAUAAGCCAAAAGGUGUACAAUAUUAUAUAUAAAAUGAGUUCAGGGGGGUAAUAGGACCUUAGUUUAGUAAAGGCGUGUCUCUGAAAUUUCAAUCAUAGUCUAGGGGGUACUUGUGCCUUAUCCCUUCUUUCAUUAUUGAAUAUUCUGAAGUCUCUCAAACGUUCAAACAUUCUACAUUAUGUAUUGUUGUGUUUUUAUAAAAAGAUCAAAUUUGUUUUUGGUGUCUUAUUCAAAUUUCAAGCACUAAAACUAAUCAACACUAUUUUAAUAUUAUUUAUUAACUUAUCAAAUUCAUCGCUACAUUAUUUUAAUAGCAUCAUAUUUUUAAAAUUUUGAGUCAUGUUUUAUUAUUCCAACUUUAUAUUAUAUAAUUUUCAUUGAAAAUUUACAUUAUUUGCAUUCUUACUUCAUAAUGUCUACAUAUAUCCUGUUUCUCCAGACCUCAUUUGUAGGAUUACACUAGUAUACUAUAAUUAUUCAAUUUAUAUUUAUCAACAAGUUUGGGGCCUCUUUAUAAUGUUUGGCUUGAGGCCCCCAAACUUGUUGAGAUGACCCUGUGUGUUGGAGCACAUCUCUCCAACUUCCAAGUGUUGGAGCACUUUCUCUCCAACUCACAAUAUUUUUUCUCUUGGUUGUGUUGGAGCACUUCUCUCCAAAUUCCAAUGUUGAUGCCCUUCCCACCAACGCCUUUUUUUUUGUGUUGGAGCACUCUCUCUCCAACUCUCGUUGAUGCCCUUCUCAUCAACUCCUUUUCUUUUUGUGUUUUUGUUUUUUAUUUUGGUGUUGGAGCACUCUCUCUCCAACUCUCAUUGAUGCCCUUCACAUCAACUCCUUUUCUUUUUGUGAUUGGUGUUGGAGCACUCUCUCUCCAACUUUCGUUGAUGACCUUCCCAUCAACUCCUUUUCUUUUUGUUUUGUUUUGUUUGUUUUUUUUACUUUAUCUAACUUUUAAUUUAGAGAAGAGUUUCUCCCUCUUGUGCUUGGUUGCACUUCUUUAAAUCUGCAAUAUUUUGUAAGUCUUUCCUCCUAGCAUGUUCUUUUCAUGAAUAUAUUAUUCGUUCAGCUUUUGUCAACAUGAUCAUUGGCCAGACGGACAGCAUAUAUAUAUGGGUUACAACUGCCCGCCAGCAAUGGAGACUCUUUGAUUCUCUACCAGGAUCGUAGAAGCUCUGAUACCAAUUGAAGGAAAAUAUUUUAUUUAUAAACUCAAAAGUUCCUAUGUGUUUCUAUAUUUUCUGUAUAUUUCUAUGUAUUUCUCUGUAUUGAAAAUAAUUAACAACAUUCUUAUUUAUAAUAGUAAACAAUCAAAUUAAACUAGGACUAGGAACUUCUCUAACUAAGAAAUCCUAAUUAAACAUAAAUAAAUAAAUACCAUAAAUAACAAAUCCUAAUCAACUUAGGAUUCCUACUCCAACUUUGAAUUAUUAUUUCCAACAGUUGGUCACUACCUAUUUGAAACUUGGAUUAUGAUACAGUAGUUAUUACUAUCUCAUUUUGCUUGAUGCAUCAAAAAAAGCAUUUCCUUAAGUAUUACGGAGUUUGAGAAUAGAAAGAGCAAGCAUUAAUUAGAAGAUAGUAAUAGGUAUUUAAAAUAGGAAAAAUCUUUUUGACCAGAAAAUUUGGCCAAAAUAGUAUUUUAUCUAUGUUAUUUUAUCUUUUUGAACAUUUUUACCCUUUUAACUUUAAUACAUUUUAAUUAAAAAGAUCAGUUUAUUUGAAAAUAAAAUAGAAAUUAUACACUUUUAAAAAAUUUUGGCCAAAUUCUGGCAAAAUUUUCUGGCCAUUUAGCAUUACCCUUUAAAAUAAUAACAUUAGGUUCUAUUAUACGCUUCUGAAACAUGUGCCGACUUUGCUCCAACAUAUGAGAUCCUUUGUUCUCUUCCAACCUAAUACAAAGUUUUGAAGAUGCAAUUUUGGCCAAAUCAUUGACGAAGUCAUGCAUUAAGAAUUCAUCUGGCUUCCCUUUAGACUUUGGGACCCUUUCGAACAAUGAUCUUGAUAUCAACUCGAGAAAGUAUUGGUUACCGGAAUGCAACUUCGGUAAAAUACCAUUAGCAAUCCAUAGGUUAAUAACUUGGUGUUUACUAAAUUGAUAAUCUUUGGGAUAUAUUGCACAAAAAGCAAAACAUCGCUUCAAAUCUGGAGGAAGAUCAUUGUAGCUACAACAUCAACGCUGGUAAUAUACCAUUGAAACAACUUGGCAGCUCCCAUAUUUCACUUCUUAAAAUGUCUCUCCACUCAUCCACCUUUGAUUUGCAGUGUAAAAUACCAGCAAGUGCCUUUAGAGCUAAAGGCAACCCUCUUCACUUGUCUGCAAAUUUUUUCCCAACCUCUUCCAAUUCUGGAUGUUCCUUAGGAUCCCUAUUUUCUAGUGAAUGUCGUUUGAAUAAAUCCCAAGAUUCUUCACUAGAUAGAGUUCCCACGUUGAUUGCUCCACUACCCAUCAUCAAAGCAACACUCUCCUUACGUGUAGUUACAAUGAUCUUACUUCCCAUAUGUCCUUGUACAAAAAGAUUUCUCAAGUCACCACUCAUAAUAGUUAUCAUUCCACACAUCAUCAAAGACAACAAGAAACUUCUUUCCCUUCAGGCUUCCCUUCAAUUUGACUUGUAGCUGAUUAAGAUUGUCGUCAUCCUUUAAGUCAAAUGAUCCAAUUUCUUGAAGUAACCCUUUUGUUAUUCUGAAAGCAUCAUAUGCUUCAAAAACACAAAACCAAGCUUUCAAACCAAAAUGGUGCUUCACCUUAUCAUCAUUGUAAACGGCUUUAGCAAGUGUUGUCUUACCCACACCACUCAUUCCAACAAUAGAAACUACAGUCAGUUUUCAGACAUCAAACGGUCAAUCAAAUCCUCUAUUUCACUCUGCUUACCAAAGAUAUCAGAAUCAUCAACCAAAGAAGUUGAAGGUGUUCUAGUUUCUUGUUUAAUCGAACCAAAAUACUCCUUUAAGCCAACACCUCCAAUGUUUCAAUGGUUUCUUCCAACUUCUCAUUUAUGUUAUGAAAGAAAUCAUCACUUGCUUGCUGGUUUCUUGUUUCUGCAAGAUUUUGAUGCUGACCUUCCACCUUAAGCUUCAAAGUUUCAUAAUUGACUUGUUCUAUUAAGUUUUCAGCGUUGUCCACAGCACUCUGAAGCUUAUUAAACCACUGUCUCACGUGUCUAAAUGAUGCUUGCUUAUUCUCUGCAUCACUUAUCGCAAUUUGAAGACCAAGCAAAGUGUCCUCCAGCUUCUUUAAGAGCCGAACAUGAUGCUUAUGCUUCCGAAACAUCGAGCAAGCCUAUCAAAGAGAACAUUCAAAGCUGAAGAGAGAAAUGCACCGCCAACUGCUAAGCCAACCUCCAUUUCUGAAAUCUGAAAAUCAAAACAUGAAUGAUUUUGAGAAGAUAAAAUGUUUCUAUCUGUUGAAUGCUAAAGAGUAAUUUGCUACUAAUGGUCUUACUUGUAAUUCUCUUUUCACCCAACAACAAGAGUCAAUAAUGGACUAUUUUUUUUAUUGGGGGGAGGUGGACAGCCAUAGAAGGAAAAAUGAAUCAAAACUCCUUUUAUCUCCUUUCCAUGAGUAUGACUUUUCACCUAACAAGAAUGAAAAACAUGGUAAUGUCUUCCUAACUUUCAUGGUUAAUGUCAUGUUUAUGACUAACCUUUUGCAUGUCUCUAUUAUACUAUAGAUAGAGACAUUAGAGUUCAUAGUGGAUACACUUGAUGAUUUGGAGAACACUAGAAUACUUGAAAAAAUAAGAAAAACUCUCAUCUCUUGUCUCUCUAUUUCUAUUGCUUUCAUCAUCUAUAUUUCUUGCCUUAUUUUGCUUUAGUUUUAUAACAAUUUAUAAUUUGAGAAAAUACAUCAAAUACCACUAUACUUGGCAGCAAAACUUACUUUAGCACUUUAACUACAUGGGCGUUUAAAUACUCAUCUUAACAACUUCGAAGUGAAUUUAAAACCACCCUUAGAUUAUAAUUACCAUUCUCACUUGCCACAUUAUAGCCAUGUAAGUGACACAACAUAGUCAUGUCAUUAGGGGUGUGCAAAAACCGAACCAACCGAUAAACCGAACCGAAAAAGUGUUAUUGGUUUAUUAUCCUUGAGUUAUUGGAUUAACUAUUUUUAAAUGGUUUUAUAAAUAAAAAAAUCGGGUUUUCGUUUCGGUAUUGGUAUUUAAUAUUGGGUUAACCGAUAACCCAUUAAGACUAUAAUAAUUUACUACUUUUACAUGUACAUAAAUAUAAAUAUUAAUCUCAAUAUCUUAGUAGUUAUGUCUUUGUCAUUUAGCCUUCAAUUCACACUUCACUGUAACUUUUUAAGUUCACAACUUCACAUUAUACAAACAGUCAAAACCUAAAGUAAGAACCUUGUUCCUCUUAAUUUCUCUUUGUGUUACACCUGUAUAGUUCUUUUCAUGUUUGUUAUUAUUGUUUCUAGAGAAGUCAUAUAUUUAUUUAUCAGUAUUUACUUAUUGGUUAAACAGAAAACCGAAUUGUUAAGGACCAAAAUCGCUAACCAAAAACCUAUAAAAAAUAUCUUACUGGUUUGGUUAUUGGUUUAGCAUAUUUAAAAACUGAAAACCAAUAAAUCGAACCAAUAAUACAUAAAACCGAACCGACCGAUGCACAUCCUUACAUGUCAGCACCACGUCAUUAAUUAUUUUUUUUAUUAAAAUUUUCACAAUUUCACCAUUUCUAGGUUUUUACCGUUUAUCUUUUUCUAAGAAUUGUUUGUGUGUUAUUCUUAUUUCGGAAAAGGGUCCAAAAUAUCAUUUAACUACAUGAAAUUGAACAAAAAAUGCUUCAAGUUAAUAGUUGGUCCAAAAUGUCCUUUUCCUAAUAAAUAUAUUAGUAUAUUUUUUUUUCUUUUUAACCAUAUUUUAUUCCUAAUAAAGAUAUUACUAUUAAAGAAUCCAAUUUUUGUCUCUUUUCUUUUAAAAUCACAUUAACUAAUAAAUAAGUAGGAAGUAAUUUUUUUCUACUCUCAUUUUAACCAUUAAAAUAGAAUAACUUCAUUUACCAUUUUAAUGGAUAAUAUAGGUCAUAUAUAUAAGAUCAUAGUAACCCUAUCAUUAAUUUUUAUUUAGAUAAUGAUAAAAAAAAAUCUAAUAAAAUAGAAGAUAUUUUUAUAUCUUAAUCAUUUCCAAAUUGAAGUAGGAUAAACAUUUUCUAAUUUAAAAAAUCAUCAUCAUUAGAAAAAGAAUGUGUUUAUAAAAAAAAUUAUUUCGAAAAAGGAUAUUUUUGACGUAUUAAGUAACAUUAGUGACAUUUUUUAACCAAACUAUUAAUUGAUAACUAACUCCAUGUAUCUUUAUUACUGAUCGUAUAGGUCAUAUAUAUACGAUCAUAGUAACCCCAUUAAUAUUCAAAUAAAAUAGAAAAUACUUUUAUAUCUUAACCUUAAUUGAAGUAAACAUUUUCUAAUUAUAAUUAUCAUUGUUAGAAAAUAAUUUGUUCUUUUCUUAAAAAGAAGUAAUAUAUUUAUUUCAAAAAGGCAUUUUUGACCCAUUAAGCAACAUUAGGAUUACUUUUUUACCAAAUGUUAACAGUAAGGGUAUUCUUAGAUCAUAUUAUUAAUUGGUGACAUUUUUGUUCAAUUUCACACAGUUAAAGGAUAUUUUUUUUUUUUAUUUCUGUUCCUAUGGUUUGGCGGGGACCAUAUACCUUAUAUUUCUAUUGGAAAUGAAACUUUCACCAACUGAGCUAAAAAUUUAUCGUCGAUCAAGAAUUUUUUGAAAUUAAAACUCGCUAAUAGUCGGGGCCAGAUAAUUCAUUGUUCAUAUGCUUUAGGAUAGAGGUGUCAAAUGAGCGGAUUGAAUUGAAUUAGGGCAAGUAAAAUUGGAAUGAGUUAAUAAAUAAACGGGUUAAUAGCUAAUUGGACCGAAUGAGUUGAACUAAAAUGCAGGUCCUAACCCUCUGACUUUCUUCCACAUGUACUUUACAUAUUCUGUUAGAGACUCGGUGUUCGUUAUCAUAUCUACGUAUUGUCAUUGAUAGAAAAGCUUCUAAUUUGUUAAUAUUACACUUUGCUAUGAACUUCCUACACAAAAUUAUUACUCCCAAUUCCAACAUGAUUUAACAAGAGCAAAUAAUUAACAAACUAAGAGAAGUAAUGAAAAAUAAAUAUCGAUGUAAGAACUUGCAGGCCUCUGCAUAGAUUCACUUAAAAAGAUUUUCUAUAGUGACAGCAGAUCUUCGUUCUACUGUGAAGCUAGCAAAGUUUCAUUCUUAGCAUGGGAUAUUUGAUGCUUAAUUAUGAGAACUUAAAUUUCAAUUAUACAUGGGUACAUAAGCUACACAUGAUGUCUUUCGCAAUUGAGAUGUGUGAAAUUAAAACGUGGUAAGAGCAUAAACCAAUAAGCAAUGAGAAACUAAUCCAAUACCUGUCAUCCAAGAUAAUAUGCAAUUAUAUAAGGCACAACAAUUAGCUGCAAGUCUAUAACAUCUAAUUCUGACAAUGGAAGUUUUCAUCUCGAACUAAAAAUGAUUUCUUGGUUUCAAUGUGGCAAUAGACACUCAUGUUGCUCAACAAGAUUUUUAAAAAGGGAAAGCAAAGGGAAGUAAGCAAAAAUAGAAAGCUUGUGAGGAAAAAGAAUAACUUACAUUUGUUUUAAUGCAUUACCAAUCGAUCUCUAUGUUCGAGAUAUGAGCGAUUUCUGGCCAAUAUUCCCCCUUGUCAAAUUCUAGUAGUGGUUUGAGCAAUGGGAAGUCGGGAACAUAUAGUUCAGAGAGGGAAGGGGGCAUCCCUUUUACCGGAAGGGAUUUGAGAUAAGGGCAAUCCCUGAUGGUCAGCUUAGAUAGGGAAGAGGGCAUCUCUUUUACCGGAAGGAAUUGGAGAAUUAGGCAAUCCUCGAUGAUCAGCUCAGAGAGGGAGGAGGACAGUGCUGAUUCAGGAAGUGAUCGGAGCACAUGAUGGCGAGAUAAAUGUAGCUCAUAAAGAGAUGAGGGAAGCCGCCCUUGUUCCAGCAUUGACUGAAUUUGAGGUAAAUCAGCCAUAUAUAGAUAUUCAAGAGAGGUGAGGCUUUCGAAAACUUGGCUGCUUAAUGUUUUCAGAUUGCGUAUGGUAAGUCUUUGAAUAGAGGAAGGCAACUCCGAAUGCUCCAUUUCUUCAUCACUGCCAUCAUGUGCGAUCACUAACUCUCUGAGACAGGGGAGUUUCUGUAAACACCACACCUUUCGACCGUUCACUAGUUUCGUGCAAUUACAGAUCUCAAGUACUUGUAAAUUGAAGGGCAAUUCUCCUUCAGGAAAUGACAGUAUUUCUGGACAAUGCCACAGAUUCAAUGUUUUAAGAGAUGGAAGGAGUUGCUGCAUACGUUCUGGCAGCCACUUCAGCUUCUUACAGUUGAAAAUACACAAAUACGCCAUCUGUGUCCCCGAACAUGCCACCGAAGUUAUUUCAAGAUUCUCACAAUUCCAAAUAUGGAGACUUUCAGUGGCAGUAGGAAUCAAAAAGCUAGUAAGGUUGGGGCAAUGUAGUACCCUCAAUUUGCGUGCUCUCCGGAGCAACUCAGGUGAUAUAUCAUCUAUAGAAUCACAAACUGGCUGCUCUAAUUUCAAUUUCUGGCAACGAGAUAUCCGUACUGUCUUCAAGGUACUUGGCAGAAUGCUAAAAGGUAAGGAGGUAAGAGAGUUACAAUCAACAAUAGAUAAUUUAUCAACAUGUUCCUUUCACCUCAUCUUUGCCUUCCGAUCUUCCCUUCUAUCAACCACAUUUUGCAACUCUAGAAUUGAUAGAGAUCCAUACAAGUUAUGUACUUCACCCAAAUCUUCCAUUCUCGAACCACCACCACCACCUAGAAGAAACUUGACUCCCACUAGCACUUGGAGGCUUUUCAACUUGCUCAGAUGUAGCGGCAUCUUCAACCGAUAAGUGUUGCUUAUGUCAAAAUGAUGUAAGUUGAUUAGCUUUUCCAUCUGCAGCGGUAAAUCCUCAAGAAUACUACAAUGUAACAGGAGAAGUGUCUCUAAGUUAUACAACACACAAAUGGAGUCUGGCAACUUUUUUAUAUCCGUCUGAGAAAGGUCCAAAAAUCUGAGGAGCUUUAAUUCGAUAAACAAGUCAUUUGACAACUCAACAAUCUGGUAAUGAGACAAUGACAGUAUCCUCAAGGAUCUUAGACUUGGAAGUAUGUUAUGUUGCACCCUCUUGCUUAGAGGGUAACAAUUAUCGAGAUCAAUACAUGUCGGAAGCAAUGUCCUCAGCUGCUCCAAUUUGUAGAGUGGUGUCAAUUUCUCAAAGUCACCAUAUCUCAUUGAAUAUGAUAAGUGCCAACUUUUUUCCAACAUGUGAGAUCCUUGGAUCUCUUCCAACCUGAUACAAAGUUUUGAAGAUGCAAUUUUGGCUAAAUCGUUGACAAGAUCAUGCAUUAAGAAUUUCUCUAUGUUCCCUUCAGAAGGAUUUGGGACCCCUUUGAAUAAUGAUCUUGAUCUCAACUCGAGAAAAUAUUGGUUGCCUGAAUCUUGAAUUAUUUCAUUUUUAUGUGGUACGAGACCAUUGGCAAUCCACAGAUGAAUAACUUGUUCUUUCCUAAAUGGAUAAUCUUUAGGAAAUAUUGCACAAUAGGAAAAACAUCGCUUUAAAUGUGCGGCAAGAUCAUUGUAGCUCAACACUAACGCUGGUAAUAUGUCAUUGUGUGGCAACUCCCAUAUUUCACUUCUUAAAAUAGGUUUCCACCCUUCAACCUCUGAUUUGGAGCGUAACACAAAAUGAUUUUGAGAAGAUAAAUGUUUGUAUCUUCAAUUACUAACAACUUGUUUAUUUUACCUGUUGAAUGCUAAGAGUAAUAUGUGAUCAAGAAUGAUUUCUCUCCUUCUCUUUUGCUACUUGUCUUGCUUGUAAUUGGUACAACUAUGUUUUAUCCAGAGGAGAAUCUAGGAUUUUUCGAACAUGGGUGCACCAAGUAAAUUGUAUUGAAGUGAGAAUUGAUCCUUAAUCCUCAAGGUCAAAAGCUCAACAUUUAACCAUGUGGACCAUUUAGACUUCUUGUAGUACGGGUGCAAGAAUAUAAUAUUAUACAAAAUCUUAAAAAAUAUACAUAUAAAAUAUCUAAUUUUACGAAGAGACCACGAGUGCGGGUGCCCUAUUUUUUGGCUGUAAAUUCGCCACUGGUUUUAUCUACACUCUACAGCUGACAGCCAUAGAAUAAAAGUAGCAGCAAAACUGUCCUUUUGAGUUUUGCCCAACAAAAGAAUAAUGGAGUGUGGUUUCUUGACUAUUCAAAAAUAAAAGAGCUUAAUAUGAAAGGCGGAAUGACCCGAGAGACACCUGUACUUGGCUCCAUUUAUCACCUAGACCCUUCAACUCACAUCUUUGUUACUAAUUGCAAAAUCAAGACAAUACCAGUAAGUCUUCUCCAAAACAUUAUCAUCAUGGGCUCAAUUUAGGUCCAUGUACAACACUGUCCCAAUUGAUGAUUAACUUUAAGUAAGUGAAUGCAUCCUUAAGGGAACCUUUUGGGUUAUGGUGUAGAAUUAAAUAUUUAAUGACGUCAUCAAUUGUCCUAUAGGCUUACAGUCAGCUGGCUGACGUGUAAUAAGAAUUAUUUAUGUGUCUCACGCAACUGAUACCUACACUUUGUUUGGAUGAUAGUUAUAUAUUGUUUCAUAAUGUAUCGUAUUGUAUUAUAUCGUAUUUUAUUGUUUUAAUGAAUACAAUGUUUGGAUAGAUUGUAUGUUUCGUUGUCGUUACAUAAUGUCACACAUCUAUAAUUUGAGUGAUAAACCUACAAGAAAAGUAGGGUACAACGUAGAGCUAUUAUGAAAAGAUAGGAUAAAAAAUGAAAUAUGAUUAUUAAAAUAUAAAUAUAGAUAAAAUGAGAUGAAAAUAUAAAGGUAACGACGCCCAUCAUUUUUAAUUCGUGCCGAUAGUUUUGCAAAAUCUUACGAUUUGGUUUUCUAAUUGUAUAAAUUUAGAAUUUGUAUAAUUCGCUCCCUGAUUGUAUAAAUCCAGAAUUUGUAUAUACUUACCCUAGAUAUUUGUAUACGAUUUAUGAAUAAAUUCAUAAUUAAUUAUCCUGUUUGUAUAUUAGCAAACGAAACAUACAAAAAUUCCUAAAUGUAUAAAUACAAAAUUUGUAUAUACUUACCAUUGUUGUAUAUUCACAAGAGACUAACCUCCAUUUAUAUAUAUUUGCCCUGUUUGUAUAUUUGCAAGCGAAAUAAACAAAUUGUAGUCUCCAUUUAUAUAUACUUACUCUGUUUGUAUAUUUGCAAGCGAAAUAUACAAACCACAACCUCCAUAGCAAACAAAACUACAGCUAUGAGGGCACAAUUACCGAAACUAUAGCUAUAGAAAAUUUUGAUCAAAGCUAUUGGAUUAUAUCAAAUUCAUAGCUUUCUCUGUAACUUUGUCCAUGUAUGGGAAGAUUUCCGUUAAAGAAAAUAUAAUAUAAAGAAGAGAAAGAAAAACUAAAAAUAAAUAAAUUUUAAGCAAUAUAAACUGAAAUACAUAUACAUCAUUUAAUAUGUAAUAACAUCAAGAAAUAAUGCAAACAUAUUUCACUCCUCAAAAUCUUCCUUGUUUCUUAUACUUUUUAAUAUUCAAAGUAAAAGGAAUAUCAUUCACGGUUCAACAACAAUCAAUAUUUCACGAUCAAGAGUAUAAUACUUUUUAGUAGUGGUUCUUAUUUAUCAUAUAUAUUAACGAUUGAAAUAUGAUUAAAAAAUAAUUUCAAUUUAAUAGACUUCUUUCUAUAUACCUAUGAAUUUCAUUAUAUUUAGAAAUGAUACAUUGAAAGAAUCCGUUAGGUUUUCCAAUAUCAAUAGAUUGAUAGUUUCUUUCUUGUAUCUUUCCAAAGGAAAAAAAGAUCUCGGAAAGAGUUCAACAGUAGUAUGUCGUUGAUUGCUUUCCUUAUUUUAUUGUAUGUGUAAAUUAUCUUAAGGAAAGCCUUAUUGUUUCCUCGUGUGAGGAUUGUAUAACUUGUAUCUAUCCAUUAUUAAAUGAUUUCACUUAGUAGAGUCUUAAAGGCGGCCUCUUUGAAAAGGGGUCGUAUUAGUUGUCCUAGUGUAAAGAGUCAAUAUUGGUCAUUGGCAUUACCGAGGUAAUAUUGAUUGAUGUGAUAAGGGGCAUUUUGGUGAUUUACAUUGAAUUUGACCUACUUAAGAGGGUUGUAACGUUUACAUGUAUUAUUCUUUCAUUCUCGGUGUUGUCACAUUCUUAUAAAACCUACCUACUCUUCCCUCUUUAUUCAUCUCUUUGGCUUCUCUCUCGCUCUCGCCGCUUAGUUUAUGUUCAGUAACAAGGUUAGUUCUAUUUAUCCUAUUUUUCUCUUUAUUUUUCCAAUGUGGGUAUUGUUCUUCUCCUUUUGUUGAAUUUUUAUAGAUCCUGCCCCGCCCCCUUUCUUUUUUUACGCAAUUCCUUUUCAAGAAUAAAUCAUUUUUUAUUGGUGGUCUUAUCCUCAAUAUACUUGUGGUUAGGAGUGUUCACAGUUUUGAUAAAAAUCGAUCCAGACCAAAAAAAUAUAUCGAAACGAUUCAAUAAAUCGAUUUUAUUUGGGUUUGGUUUCGUUUGGUUUUAGAUUUUUGAAAGCAGAUAUUAUUUUUUAUUUUGUUCAAAAAGGGGUCGUAUUAGUUGUCCUAGUGUAAAGAGCCGGUAUUGGCCGUUGGCAUGGCCGAGGUAAUAUUUAUUGAUGCAGUAAGGGGCAUUUUGGUGAUUUUCAUUGAAUUUGACCUACUUAAGAGGGUUGUAACGUUUACAUGUGUUAUUCUUGCAUUCUCAGCGUUGUCACAUUCUUAUAAAACCUACCUACUCUUCCCUCUUUAUUCAUCUCUUCGGCUUCUCUCUUGCUCUUGCCGCUUAGUUUAUGUUCAGUAAUAUCUUCUUCUAUUUUACCCCCCCCCCCCCCGCCCGCUCCCUCUAUUUUUUAGGCAAUUACUUUUCAAGAAUAAAUUAAUUUUUAGGUGUUCUUAUCCUCGGUAUACUUGUGGCUAGGGGUGUUCACGAUUUGAAUAAAAAUUGAUCCAGACCAAAAAAGAUUCUAUCGAAACGAUUCAAUAAAUCGAUUUUAUUUGGGUUUGGUUUCGUUUGGUUUUAGAUUUUUGAAAACUGAUAGUAUUUUUGGUUUUGUUUGAAAAAACAGAAGAAAUAACUUAACUGAACCGAUAAAUUAUAUAUAUACAUGUAUUUUAUUAUUAUACAUACAUAAUAUAUUACUUUUAUAAACACUUUUAAAGAUCUUAUAUAUGUUUUCAUCAAAAUAUAUUUUUAAUUUCUUUAUGAAAGCAAAAAUGUCAAGAUGAGAACAUUUAUCUUAUUGGUUAUAUUUUAAUUUUAGUAUUAAAAAUGCAUAAACACCAACAGGUUUCAUGUAUAUGACUAAAAAUGUCACAGUCACUUCUUUCAAGGCCAAAAUGGUGAAUUUUGAAACUUUAUUCAUAAGAAAAUUUAGUCAUCGAAAGUUCGGUAACGUCGGUCGUUCUAACUAUUUCUCAUUUUGAUGAAUUAUUGUCACUUUUUUUUCAUUUUGAAUGAAUCAUUUCUUUUAUUUUUGUGUAUGGUUAACAACCAAAUAACCGAACCAAAUCAAACCGAAAUCGAUAACAACCAAACGGAUAAAUAUUUAUUAUAUUUGGUUUGAUUUAAUUUUGAAAAUUUAAAAACCGAUUAUGUUGGUUUGGUUUUGAUUUUGACCAAUAAUCGACCCGUGACAACCCCUAUUUGUAGUAAUUGAUUUUUGUUAAGAUUAUAACUUUGUUAUUAGGGAUGGCAAUUGGGGCGGGACGAAGCACUUGCGGGGAAAAUUUGCAUGAGUCCGCGAACACUUCGACCCGUCCCACCUCGCCCCGCAUAGCAAAACAAUUAGUUUUUAAUCCAUCUCGCCCACCUUGCCUCAUAUGCAAGUAAACUUAAUCUCUAAUGUUUGAUAAUGUCACGCCCCGAGCCUACACCCUGGGCGGGAUCGGCACUCGAAGACCAUUGUUGGCCCCAAGCGAACCCUUGGCCUGGCUUCUUAACUCAGCGGAAACCUAACUCAACAGAAUAACUCAAUGCAAUGAAAGGUCAUAAAGCAGCCCAACUGAUAAAAUCUGGCCAACAGGCAACUCGUGUCUCAAAAUAGAAUAUAUAUAUAUACAUAGAUGAGAGACUCAAUACUAACUGACUGAUUGUCUGUCUAUGAAGCCUCUAUAACACUGAGAUGGAUGUUGGGACAGACCCCACAACAUCCUAAUAAAGCAAAACUAGGAACACAAAAUAACAGAGUCCUCAGGAAGGCAAAAAGGCUCACCACUGACUCUGGAAUGCUCAGCUGGAUCAACGGCGUGCUGGAUGCUGAUCCUGGGUACCUGUGUCUGCAUCAUCAUAAGAUGCAGGCCAACUGGCAUCAGUACAUUGAAUGUACAAGUAUGCGAGUUGGAAUGCUAAGCAACAUAGGCUAGAAGGAAAUCUGGAAGAAACUGAAUAACUUACCUGGCUCAACUCAACUCAACCUGACUGACUCGUUUCAAUAUAAGGCACAUUAAAACAAGUGCAAUAUAAAGAAAAGUUGUUUAAAACAUGCUAUAAACUCUGUGUACGCAAAGAUACAAUAAGUCUGAGAUGUAUGUAGAAAUACAAAUGAACUGAUGUAUAUAAAAAUACAAUAAUUAUUGUGGGAGUUUCUCUCACCGACAACCAUCACAUAAAAGCUAUAGUGAUGAUACAACGAUCAACCUCACGCUGCCAGAGCAUCCUACACCUGGCCAAAGGUAUAGGACCUGAACUGCCUAAUGGAUCCACUAGUCUAAUUUGAAAAGGAUUCAUCUAAAAAGUAUGAACCUCUUCUGCCCAUGAUGGUUACAUGGUUCUAUGGGGACUGUGGGUUCUUUGAACGCUCCCCCAAUUCGGUGCUCAAUACUACUCCCAAAAUGUACUAGCUCUUUUUUUUUUUUAAAACAUUAUUUCUUUCUGCUGAUUUGAGAUAAUUACUCAAACUUAGCUCAAAGGCUAUCUUGAAAAUCUCAGUUUCCUCUCUUGCUUCAUUUAGAAAGCGAUUACUCUUUUUCUAGAAAACUAGCCUGAAGGCUCUUUGGAGAUCCCAGUUUCCAAUCUUGUUUAAAUGUGAAAACAUUUCUUUAAAACUUCUUUGGGAAUACUUAGUUCCCUAAUAACUUUUGAGAAAUGAACUCAACUCUAUACUCCUGGCUUAACUUGAAACUUGAGCCUUAAAAAUGAAGUUAAAACGCUUAAUUAAAGACUCGAAAAACUUGAAGAAACUUGCUUUGACUUGCUUCUUAACUUCUAGACUUGACUCUAACUUCACUUGACUUUGAUCCGAACUUUCCUCAAAUUGGAUUAUGAAUUCAAGGGUAAUAAUCUCACGUUUAUGGAUGAGUUCUUGAUGCUUAGAUGUACCUUAGAGUGGUGAAAACAACUAUAAAACAUAGGGUACAUUACCAAGAAACAUGUAUGAAAAAGUGGGGAAGGAAAGGGAAGGAUUGGCGUCCUUGGCGCUCUGAGAGGCGCGGGGCUCCAGCCCUCAAAGCUCAGAAGGCCUGGUGGGACGCUCUGCAUGGCGCGCCGCCCCAAGGGUGGAGGCUCAGAAUCCCUUUUGGGGCGCGCUGGCUGGCGCGACGCCCCAGCCCUUUUUUCCCCCGAAAAAUCCAACUUUUCUCCUUUGUUUUCCAACUCUAAACCUUCUUAACUUCAAAGGUUCCAGCCCCCAAAACACUUAGAAUCAUAAAACCCCUUAACAUACAAUAGAUUCAACUCGAAAUCACAACCGGAAACAUGCACCAAACCAACAAGAACUUCAACACAACCACAAGACUUCAACAAACACAACCAAAUCUUUUCUCGAAAAUUAAAACGAGUUUGGCAUCUGGGGGAAUGAACCAACCCAACACUAUGAUCUCACAUACCUUAAUAGGGAUAACCCUUGACGAAAACCAAGACGACCUCUUCUCUUUCUCCUCUUCUUUCUCUCUUCUCUCAAAAGCCCUAACUCUCACUUUAAAAGGGAAAACUGAUUUAAAAUCAGUCUAAAACCUUACUAUAACCAAAAGAAAUGGUUAGGGAAAAGACCAAAAUACCCUUACAAAUUCGGAGUAAACUGCCCUAUGCCGACAACCCAACUUCCAAAGGGCAUAACUCACUCAUACGAACUCGGAAUCAAGCAAACUUGGCGGCGUUGGAAAGAUAAUUCCAAGAGCUUUCCAAACAUAACUAUAAAUACACCUAAGUCAUCCUGAUCUAGGAGUUAUGACUGUUUGAAAGUGACAAAAACACUAUUUUCAAUUUCAAGCUUCUUCAUAGUUAGUUCAAAUUGCAACAUGUCACAGAUAAUUUUUCCCCCUUCACAGCCCUGUGUUAUGAGCAACCAAGACCAAAUCUCUAACAGUUGUCGUGAUAAGGGAAACUCCAAAAGUCUGCUUAUUGAAAACUCACCUCAGAAAAAAAUGAAGAUUGAGAUAGAAUGCAAAGACAUUGAUAGGAUCAGUCACCUACCUGACGCUCUUAUUGUUCAAAUUAUUUCUCGAUUGUCCAUAAAAGAUGUGUUCCGAACAACUAUUCUCUCUAAAGAUUGGCAAUACUUCUGGACUUCUAUCGACAACAUUGUUUAUGAAGAGGGGUAUGGUCGUUCAGAUAGCUCGACAGUGCACAAAUUCAUUUUCUUAACAGAUAAUGUACUACCUCUCCUUAGCUGCUCUAGCAUUAAAAAGUUCAGUCUAAACGUCGAGUUCACAACUAAUGAUGAUGUUGUGUCUUAUUUUUCCCAUAAUUGACAAGUGACUUGAAUUUUCUAUGAGUAAGGAAGUGGAGGAUUUACGCCUGAAUAUACGCGAUAGAAAUAUUAAUUCAAGUCAGCCCCAAAGCUAUAGCUUGCCACAAGUUCUCUGCAGUAGUUCAUCGAUUGUAACACUCAACUGCGAUAAUUGCAUAAUAUCAGAAGAUUGUGUACUAAAUUGGACAUCUCUGAAGAGUUUAACGUUGCAAAGUUUGUUUCUCCUGGAUGAACACAUUAAACAAAUAAUGUCAAAUUGUCCUCAAUUGGAAUCUUUGGAGCUACAUGAAUUUUGUGGUUUUAGUUGUUUGCACAUGACUUGUCCAAAAUGUAGGCGACUGCAGUUGACCCAGCACGAUCAUCCUUACGGGGAUUGGUAUUUAUACGAAGGUGAUGUAUGUUGCUUAGAAAUUGUUGCUCCAUAUGUUGAACAUUUAACGAUUACUAGGGUUUUAAGUCAUACGAAAAUUAAGUUCGGGGACUUGUCAUCUUUGAACCAUGCCACUUUUAAUCUCUAUUGUGAUGAAUAUGAUGAAAUGGAUGUAAACAUAGAAAAGAUUUGUUGCUAAGCGUUCAUUGUGCUAAUGAGCUAAUACUCUCAUCCCGAUUUAUCAAGGUCAGUUAUCAGUCCCAAAUGUCUUUAGUCUUUUUAUGUUAAUUGUGAAUAGAGCUCCUCUUUUUAUCAUCUGCCUCAUUCUUUUGUUCAGGUGAUUUCCAAUUUGAUGUUGGAAGAGGAACACGUCUCCUUACCGUUGAUGGAAUGCAGAUACUUGACAAUAAGUUCUCGUAUUUCAAAACUUUCCUUCCCAAUGCUAGACAACCUCUUAAGGUCAACUUGUAAUUUGAAAAUUUUGAUGAUAUUUCCUGAUAAGCCGGUAUGUUUUAAAUUCACGAUAUAUUUAUAUCAAAUGUUUAUUGAUCCUCUAUAGACUCAACAACUUCAAUUUCAUUACUAUAGUUGUUAAGCUUAACGCUUACCACCUAACCUAAUUUUUCCUUGUUCAGUAUUUGUAGUACCAUCCUUUUUUUGAGGUCGAAGACAUUGAUUUGCUGGAAGACAUGUACCUCUCCUUUGAAGAAAACAUAUCCAAAGUUUCCUUACAAAAUUUGAAGAAUAUCAAGGUUAUGUCAUUUUGUAGUCGCACGCGUAGAUCUGACGCAAUGGAGCUCCAUCAAUUCUUGAAGUUCUUACUUGAGCAUGCAAUAAAUUUGCAGAAACUGGUUAUAGUGCCAGAGCAUAAGGAAUGCAACAGUUGUUCUACUGAUACCUCAUUCCUGAUGAAGUAUUUGUUACCUUUUCCAACAACUUCUAUGAGUGCAAUUAUUUCCUUAGGAACAGUUAGUCAUAAUGUUUUCUAUAGUGAUGUUUGAAACUCUCUUGUACUUAUAAAGACACAUAAGAUUGGGAUAUGACUGUAAUUCAGAUAUUGCUUGUUUGUUUGUAUGGCCAAGUAAUUUAUUUAGUCAUUUUUUACUGUUGAAAUAUCAUUUUGAUGAAGUUAGAAGUUAGUAUAUGCUAAGAUUUUUCGAACCAUUCUUCGUAGGUGUAUAGGUUCAUACUUGGUGAUUAAUUCCUAACUAUUUAUGGGUGUUAAGGCUCAAUUAUAAGUGUGGAAAGUGUAUUGGAUGUGAAUCAAGGUCAUAAGGGCCUCCUAGCAUACGAAGAGUUUUGUGGCCUAAUACCAGCCUAAUAACAAGUCUCAGAGUUUUCUUUCCAACGCAUUUGACCGUUCGUCAAUCUGAGUUAUGUGCUAAAAGUUAUGUCCAUUUCAGUGGGUACUAUGUAGUCUGCGCGAACCGCCAGGCGACUGCGCGGGAACGUUAGUGUUAUUGCCAUGGCUGUAUGACCUAGGCUCCAAUUGCGCACGUUCGCUCUGAAAUUCUUUUAGUUUUCUCUUCUUUUUAUAGUUUGAGGAGGGGUCUUUUUGUCAUUUCCUCAUUCCAUAACCCGAACCCUUGACUAUUAACUUCCUUCAAAAGUCAAAUUUAAUUAGAUUUCAUAUGUUACGAUAAACUCCUCUCUUUUUGUCCAACACUUCAAAAAACUAUAUUUACAAGAAUGCUAGAGAUUGCAAUCACGAUUCUUCCUCAAACUUCAAAAUUAAGGUAUGUAGGACAAAUGGCUGAAGGAUGUAAAGAAACAUAUUAAAUAUUAUUGUCAGUAAUGCUUUAUAAAUUUGUUACUCCAAAACAUGUUUUCAGUCUAAAAUAUUACUGAUAGUAACAAUUCUUUAGAAUUCAAUUACGGACAACCGAAUUCUACAUAUUUAAAAUCUUGCAUAUGUGCAUAUAUUUUUUUUCAUACCUCAUAAUUUGCGGAUAAGAUUGAUAUAAAUAUUUUGGGAAUGUACGUAAAGAACAAAUUAAAAUGAUGCAUUUUAAAUUAGUGGUCAGCAUAGUUAUUACAUAAAUCUAUUGGCUCAAAACUAUGAAUUUGUCAUAGUCAAUCAGCUUCAUUUUGCAGAACUCUUUAUUCAAUCAUCAUUCCAACAAUUAUGAAAACUAGACUCAAAGUCCUUCAAUUUGAUGUGUUACAGGUCUUCUAACUCUCAAUAUAUUUGGAGAUAUGCUCAUCACAAGUCAAGAUUAUACAAAACUCUAUUAUAAUAAACAUGUCACCUAAGAUUAUUGUUUCAAAGCUCCCUUUGGCCUCUAACUUUCGUCUAAAAAUUUCAAGUGAUUUUAUAUAGUUAUUACUUGGUAUAACCAUCUAAUUUUUAUUAUUCUCCGGACAUCUCAAUGACGGUUGAUGUAAAAUACAAUAAAUUGACUCGUCAAACAUAAAUUUGUUAUUUUAAACGUUAAAAACUUAUGGGAUAUUGCAUAUACACAUCCUCUAAAAUCUUUCAGUUCAAUUGGAAGUACUUCAUCCCAAGUCCUUCCGGCACUUGAGUGUGUAUUAAUUGAUUAUCAUCAUAGAUCUUACGCUAUUAAUAGCUCAAACUAUUAGAUGAGGGUUGAUAGCCCCAAAUCUUUGUUAUUAGUUGUUUCCAUAAUCUUCACUUCCUUAUCCGAGCAAGUUUAGAAUUGAGGCAAGUUUCAAUGUUUGCAAUCAUCAAAAAAAAAACUUUACAAAAGAACCAUUAAUGCACAAUGGCUGACACCUUCAUGCGAAGAUUUAAUAUGAAGAAUUCAGUAUCCUCACUUCGAUUCUAGGUUACAUAACCCUAGUUAUGAUGCUUAGCUACUCAUAACUUUGUACAAAUAAUUUAAAAAAUUGUAAUAAUCAAAGAACAUUAUGAUAAUGAGAAAUAGAACAAACCUUGAACUAAAACUCAGUAUUUGCAAGAAUAUAUGUUGUUUGUCCAAAACUCAUGAAUAGAAAGUAGUAAUGUAAGGACCCUAAUUUAUGGUGUAUGCUCUCCAAUGCGUGGCUUGUCAAAAUAAAAUAUCAACAAUAUAAACCGGUUAUCAACCCUACAAAAGUUUAUAAAUUCUACUUAUAUUUUGACUUGAAACAUGUCUAAUCACAUAUAUUAGCUCGCUCACAUCAAUCAUACUCAAAACAUAUCAAUAUAUGCGAACAAAACGUAGCUAAAAUAUGGGUAAAAUACAACAUGAUUAUAUAAAUACGCUCAAGAUCAAGUAUCGAACUCCAAGAGGAAGGACCUUUUUUAGGAUUAGAGCAAAGGUCCCAAAAAAAGCUUCACAAUGUAUUGUAAGGUAUAGUUCUCAUGGCAACACUUGUGAGAAACAACUAUUAGAUGUAAAAUAAACCUUACAUUGUCCUUUAAUAUUCCCUUCCAAGAGAAUGAACCUCAAAUGAGAUUAAUACCAUUUUUGCUAAGAAACAUUUAGAGAAUUCACAAAUUAACUCUCAAUAAGGACCAAUAAUCUGAAAUCACCAAAACAUUUCAAAGAAUCUGCAAGUGCAGUGAAAUGUGUAAAAAGGGUAACCCCAAAAUGAAAGAGAAAAAAUUGACAUUUAGUAAUAUCAAUUUUAACGUAUAACAUAAAAGGCCAGUAGUAUUGAUGGUCAGUCUCAAAAAUCUAAUACAACAAACUUUGUUGCUUAACCAACAAUCUCUGCUACCUUGUGUGACUAUUAAUCCACGGCAAUACAUAGCCUA
rnacentral:lncRNA from 1 species